rnacentral:lncRNA from 1 species
CCUGGCAUCCGAUUUGAUCGAACAGAAUUUUUUCUUCAACCCACAUGUCCCAUCAAUCGGUGUCAAAGGCUCACAUGAGAAGCUACUUGGGAGUUUUAGUGGGAGACUAUGGGACAGAAGUCCAUCUUUGCCGGCCCCUCUAUGAUCAUGAACUCCGCUUAUCCCUGUGCCUAUUGCUGGACUGGAACCUCCCCGUAUGUCUGAUUAAAGCUGGCCUGAACAAUAUCAUAUCUUCCUUUGACAGUGCCAAACCUCACUAGAUAAGCAAGCCCCAAUGGUCCUCCUGCAUGUGUAUAUCUCCAAUAGGCCGAAGUCCUCCCAUGCUGAAGUUACCUCCC